GGAGAACAACACCCUGGCUUGACAGAACACCCAGGCGGGACAGAAUCUGGAGACUGGUGGAAGUAGUCCAGCCGCCAUUUGUUUGGCCUCCUCCAUGAAGUGUGGGAACCUUCUGCCGGGCCUGUAUAAAUAAAGAGAAAUGAUUAUGUAAAGCCGUUCCGCCGAAUUCAACAACCGUAGAAACAGAGGAAAGGACACAACAUUAUCGAGACCAAUCUCCUGGGCCCUGACAAACCAACGCCUCGACAUAUGCACAUUUUCUGUUCAACGCCUUCGACACGGACCACAAUGGAUCUGUGAGUUUUGAGGACGAUAACAUCAUGCGGUCGAUGCAUCUGUUUGAAAACGUCAUCUAAACCGUGGAGAUGAUAUGACCGCCGAGGCAGGGGGGGACGCCGUCGUGGUCUUCAUCCUCAUAAUCUUCACCCGGGCUCCACUCUGCCCGGUCUGGACUGUAGGGAGCAGACCCACGUUUCAACGUUUCACGCCCACGGGUCUGAAGAGAGAAUUUAAAUGGAGCGGCUCAGUGGAAAGUCUCAAAAUGACAUUAUAUUAAUAAUUAACAUUUCUAGAUCAAUGUUCAACACUUUGUUUCAUUCCUGAAUGGUACACGUGUUGCCUGGGAGGAAUACCUUUCACAACAAGGAAUAAUCACUAUGUUUACGGUCACAUUGUGUUUCUUUGCAAGCGAUAACCCGGGUCAGCUUUCAACAUUAUUGACCGAGGAGUUUUAUCACUAAGAUGAGUGUGUAGUUUGAGAACAAGAGUCAUAGCAAGAGAUUAUUUAUUUUUCUGUUGGCCGUAGUAUUUGCUUUGAAGGAUCAAAAUCACUGUGAUAUAAUCCAUUCAUAAUUAACAUUAAGGAAAUAACUAACGAUCAUCCUAUUGAUUUAUAUUUGAAACUCAGUUUCCGUCAGAUUUUCAACGUUUCUGGAGCGUUCUUACCAUAAGUUACACGAUGUUGGUCUGUACUGUGUUCCCCAAAGUGAGCAUUCACAGAACUUAGAUUGUACAAUUUUUA
ensembl:lncRNA